rnacentral:rRNA from 1 species
GGUUAAGCGACUAAGCGUACACGGUGGAUGCCCUGGCAGUCAGAGGCGAUGAAGGGCGUGCUAAUCUGCGAUAAGCGCCGGUAAGGUGAUAUGAACCGUUAUAACCGGCGAUACCCGAAUGGGGAAACCCAGUGUGACUCGUCACACUAUCAUUAACUGAAUCCAUAGGUUAAUGAGGCGAACCGGGGGAACUGAAACAUCUAAGUACCCCGAGGAAAAGAAAUCAACCGAGAUUCCCCCAGUAGCGGCGAGCGAACGGGGAGGAGCCCAGAGCCUGAAUCAGCAUGUGUGUUAGUGGAAGCGUCUGGAAAGGCGCGCGAUACAGGGUGACAGCCCCGUACACAAAAGCGCAUGUGCUGUGAGCUCGAUGAGUAGGGCGGGACACGUGGUAUCCUGUCUGAAUAUGGGGGGACCAUCCUCCAAGGCUAAAUACUCCUGACUGACCGAUAGUGAACCAGUACCGUGAGGGAAAGGCGAAAAGAACCCCGGCGAGGGGAGUGAAAAAGAACCUGAAACCGUGUACGUACAAGCAGUGGGAGCACCCUUUGGGGUGUGACUGCGUACCUUUUGUAUAAUGGGUCAGCGACUUAUAUUCUGUAGCAAGGUUAACCGUAUAGGGGAGCCGUAGGGAAACCGAGUCUUAACCGGGCGUUAAGUUGCAGGGUAUAGACCCGAAACCCGGUGAUCUAGCCAUGGGCAGGUUGAAGGUUGGGUAACACUAACUGGAGGACCGAACCGACUAAUGUUGAAAAAUUAGCGGAUGACCUGUGGCUGGGGGUGAAAGGCCAAUCAAACCGGGAGAUAGCUGGUUCUCCCCGAAAGCUAUUUAGGUAGCGCCUCGUGAAUUCAUCUCCGGGGGUAGAGCACUGUUUCGGCUAGGGGGCCAUCCCGGCUUACCAACCCGAUGCAAACUGCGAAUACCGGAGAAUGUUAUCACGGGAGACACACGGCGGGUGCUAACGUCCGUCGUGAAGAGGGAAACAACCCAGACCGCCAGCUAAGGUCCCAAAGUCAUGGUUAAGUGGGAAACGAUGUGGGAAGGCCCAGACAGCCAGGAUGUUGGCUUAGAAGCAGCCAUCAUUUAAAGAAAGCGUAAUAGCUCACUGGUCGAGUCGGCCUGCGCGGAAGAUGUAACGGGGCUAAACCAUGCACCGAAGCUGCGGCAGCGACGCUUAUGCGUUGUUGGGUAGGGGAGCGUUCUGUAAGCCUGCGAAGGUGGCCUGUGAGGGUUGCUGGAGGUAUCAGAAGUGCGAAUGCUGACAUAAGUAACGAUAAAGCGGGUGAAAAGCCCGCUCGCCGGAAGACCAAGGGUUCCUGUCCAACGUUAAUCGGGGCAGGGUGAGUCGACCCCUAAGGCGAGGCCGAAAGGCGUAGUCGAUGGGAAACGGGUUAAUAUUCCCGUACUUGGUGUUACUGCGAAGGGGGGACGGAGAAGGCUAUGUUGGCCGGGCGACGGUUGUCCCGGUUUAAGCGUGUAGGUGUGUGUUCCAGGUAAAUCCGGUUCACUUUAACACUGAGGCGUGACGACGAGGCACUACGGUGCUGAAGCAACAAAUGCCCUGCUUCCAGGAAAAGCCUCUAAGCAUCAGGUAACAUCAAAUCGUACCCCAAACCGACACAGGUGGUCAGGUAGAGAAUACCAAGGCGCUUGAGAGAACUCGGGUGAAGGAACUAGGCAAAAUGGUGCCGUAACUUCGGGAGAAGGCACGCUGACACGUAGGUGAAGUGAUUUACUCACGGAGCUGAAGUCAGUCGAAGAUACCAGCUGGCUGCAACUGUUUAUUAAAAACACAGCACUGUGCAAACACGAAAGUGGACGUAUACGGUGUGACGCCUGCCCGGUGCCGGAAGGUUAAUUGAUGGGGUCAGCGCAAGCGAAGCUCCUGAUCGAAGCCCCGGUAAACGGCGGCCGUAACUAUAACGGUCCUAAGGUAGCGAAAUUCCUUGUCGGGUAAGUUCCGACCUGCACGAAUGGCGUAAUGAUGGCCAGGCUGUCUCCACCCGAGACUCAGUGAAAUUGAACUCGCUGUGAAGAUGCAGUGUACCCGCGGCAAGACGGAAAGACCCCGUGAACCUUUACUAUAGCUUGACACUGAACAUUGAGCCUUGAUGUGUAGGAUAGGUGGGAGGCUUUGAAGUGUGGACGCCAGUCUGCAUGGAGCCGACCUUGAAAUACCACCCUUUAAUGUUUGAUGUUCUAACGUGGACCCGUUACCCGGGUUGCGGACAGUGUCUGGUGGGUAGUUUGACUGGGGCGGUCUCCUCCUAAAGAGUAACGGAGGAGCACGAAGGUUGGCUAAUCCUGGUCGGACAUCAGGAGGUUAGUGCAAUGGCAUAAGCCAGCUUGACUGCGAGCGUGACGGCGCGAGCAGGUGCGAAAGCAGGUCAUAGUGAUCCGGUGGUUCUGAAUGGAAGGGCCAUCGCUCAACGGAUAAAAGGUACUCCGGGGAUAACAGGCUGAUACCGCCCAAGAGUUCAUAUCGACGGCGGUGUUUGGCACCUCGAUGUCGGCUCAUCACAUCCUGGGGCUGAAGUAGGUCCCAAGGGUAUGGCUGUUCGCCAUUUAAAGUGGUACGCGAGCUGGGUUUAGAACGUCGUGAGACAGUUCGGUCCCUAUCUGCCGUGGGCGCUGGAGAACUGAGGGGGGCUGCUCCUAGUACGAGAGGACCGGAGUGGACGCAUCACUGGUGUUCGGGUUGUCAUGCCAAUGGCACUGCCCGGUAGCUAAAUGCGGAAGAGAUAAGUGCUGAAAGCAUCUAAGCACGAAACUUGCCCCGAGAUGAGUUCUCCCUGAGACUUAGAGUCUCCUGAAGGAACGUUGAAGACGACGACGUUGAUAGGCCGGGUGUGUAAGCGCAGCGAUGCGUUGAGCUAACCGGUACUAAUGAACCGUGAGGCUUAACCUU